rnacentral:rRNA from 1 species
UACGAAGGGUGCAAACGUUGCUCGGAAUUAUUGGGCGUAAAGCGCACGUAGGCGGCCUUGCAAGUCGGAUGUGAAAUCCCUCGGCUCAACCAAGGAAGUGCAUCCGAAACUGCAGAGCUUGAGUACCAAAGAGGAUCGCGGAAUUCCCGGUGUAGAGGUGAAAUUCGUAGAUAUCGGGAGGAACACCAGUGGCGAAGGCGGCGAUCUGGGUGGAUACUGACGCUGAGGUGCGAAAGCGUGGGGAGCAAACAGG